rnacentral:rRNA from 1 species
UACAGAGGGUGCGAGCGUUGUUCGGAAUCACUGGGCGUAAAGCGCGUGUAGGCGGCCCAUUAAGUCUGAUGUGAAAGCCCGGGGCUCACCCCCGGAAGUGCAUUGGAAACUGAUGGACUCGAGUCCCGGAGAGGAGAGUGGAAUUCCUGGUGUAGCGGUGAAAUGCGUAGAUAUCAGGAGGAACACCAAUAGCGAAGGCAGCUCGCUGGGACAUUACUGACACUGAGGCGCGAAAGCGUGGGGAGCGAACAGG